rnacentral:rRNA from 1 species
GACGAACGCUGGCGGCGUGCUUAACACAUGCAAGUCGAACGAAGUGGCGAACGGGUGAGUAACGCGUAAGCAACCUGCCCUUCAGAGGGGGAAAACAGUUGGAAACGACUGCUAAUACCCCAUACUGAAGGAGGGGAUUGCGUCUGAUUAGCUAGUUGGAGGGGUAACGGCCCACCAAGGCGAUGAUCAGUAUCCUGGCUUGGAGGAUUAACGGCCACAGUGGGACUGAUACACGGCCCAGACGCCUACGGGAGGCAGCAGUGGGGAGUCUUCCGCAAUUGACGAAAGUCUGACGGAGCAACGCCGCGUGAGUGAUGACGGCCUUCGGGUUGUAAAGCUCUGUUAAUCGGGACGCGGUACCGGAAUAGAAAGCCACGGCUAACUACGUGCCAGCAGCCGCGGUAAUAC